rnacentral:rRNA from 1 species
AUUGAACGCUGGCGGCAGGCCUAACACAUGCAAGUCGAACGAGUGGCGGACGGGUGAGUAAUUUCUGGGAAACUGCCUGAUGGAGGGGGAUAACUACUGGAAACGGUAGCUAAUCCCGCAUACCAUCGGAUGUGCCCAGAUGGGAUUAGCUAGUAGGUGGGGUAAAGGCUCACCUAGGCGACGAUCCCUAGCUGGUCUGAGAGGAGGACCAGCCACACUGGAACGGAGACACGGUCCAGAAUCCUACGGGAGGCAGCAGUGGGGAAUAUUGCACAAUGGGCGCAAGCAUGAUGCAGCCAUGCCGCGUGUAUGAAGAAGGCCUUCGGGUUGUAAAGUACUUUCAGCUGGGAGGCGUUACCCGCAGAAGAAGCACCGGCUAACUCCGUGCCAGCAGCCGCGGUAAUUC